rnacentral:tRNA from 1 species
GGAUGUGUAGAUCGGUGGUAGAUUGCUUGCUUCACAUGCAUAAGGUUCUGGGUUCAACUCCCAGUACUGCAA